rnacentral:rRNA from 1 species
AUUGAACGCUGGCGGCAGGCCUAACACAUGCAAGUCGAACGAGUGGCGGACGGGUGAGUAAUGUCUGGGAACCUGCCCGAUGGAGGGGGAUCACUACUGGCAACGGUAGCUAAUACCGCAUACCAUCGGAUGUGCCCAGAUGGGAUUAGCUAGUAGGUGGGGUAACGGCUCACCUAGGCGACGAUCCCUCGCGUGUCUGAGAGGAUGCCCAGCCACACUGGAACGGAGACACGGUCCAGACGCCUACGGGAGGCAGCAGUGGGGAAUAUUGCACAAUGGGCGCAAGCCUGAUGCAGCCAUGCCGCGUGUAGGAAGAAGGCCUUCGGGUUGUAAAGUACGUUCAGCGAGGAGGCGUUACUCGCAGAAGAAGCACCGGCUAACUCCGUGCCAGCAGCCGCGGUAAUAC